rnacentral:rRNA from 1 species
ACGCUCGACACCUACGGGGGCAGCAGUGGGGAAUAUUGCACAAUGGAGGAAACUCUGAUGCAGCGAUGCCGCGUGAGGGAAGAAGGUUUUCGGAUUGUAAACCUCUGUCUUUGGGGACGAUAAUGACGGUACCCAAGGAGGAAGCUCCGGCUAACUACGUGCCGCAGCCGCGGUAAUCUGAGCGGGCUGGCAAGGC